AGCGGCGAAGGGGGGCUUAACACGUGGGCAAUCUGCCGAGAAGUGGGGGAUAGCUCGCCGAAAGGCGAAUUAAUACCGCAUGUGAUCAGAGUGGACAUCCACUCAAAAAUUAAAGUCGGGGCAACCUGACGCUUCUUGAGGAGCCCGCGGCCUAUCAGCUAGUUGGUGAGGUAACGGCCCACCAAGGCUUUGACGGGUAGCUGGUCUGAGAGGACGACCAGCCACACUGGGACUGAGACACGGCCCAGACACCUACGGGUGGCAGCAGUCGAGAAUUUUUCUCAAUGGGGGAAACCCUGAAGGAGCGACGCCGCGUGGAGGAUGAAGGUCUUCGGAUUGUAAACUUCUGUCAUUGGGGAACAAGGUGCAUACGUUAACAGCGUGUGCAUUGAUAGUACCCGAAGAGGAAGAGACGGCUAACUCUGUGCCAGCAGCCGCGGUAAUACAGAGGUCUCAAGCGUUGUUCGGAUUCAUUGGGCGUAAAGGGUGCGUAGGCGGCGCGGUAAGUCGGGUGUGAAAUCUUGGAGCUUAACUCCGAAACUGCAUUCGA
rnacentral:rRNA from 1 species